rnacentral:rRNA from 1 species
UACGGAGGAUGCGAGCGUUAUCCGGAUUUAUUGGGUUUAAAGGGUGCGUAGGCGGCUUUUUAAGUCAGCGGUGAAAUUUUGCAGCUCAACUGUAAAAGUGCCUUCGAAACUGGUUUCCUUGAGUGUAGAUGAAGUAGGCGGAAUUUGUGGUGUAGCGGUGAAAUGCAUAGAUAUCACGAGGAACUCCGAUUGCGAAGGCAGCUUACUAAGCUACUACUGACGCUCAGGCACGAAGGCGUGGGGAUCAAACAGGAUUAGAUACCCCCGUAGU